GACGAACGCUGGCGGCGUGCUUAACACAUGCAAGUCGAACGGAAAGGCCCUGCUUUUGUGGGGUGCUCGAGUGGCGAACGGGUGAGUAACACGUGAGUAACCUGCCCUUGACUUUGGGAUAACUUCAGGAAACUGGGGCUAAUACCGGAUAGGAGCUCCUGCUGCAUGGUGGGGGUUGGAAAGCUUCGGCGGUUGGGGAUGGACUCGCGGCUUAUCAGCUUGUUGGUGGGGUAGUGGCUUACCAAGGCUUUGACGGGUAGCCGGCCUGAGAGGGUGACCGGCCACAUUGGGACUGAGAUACGGCCCAGACUCCUACGGGAGGCAGCAGUGGGGAAUAUUGCACAAUGGGCGGAAGCCUGAUGCAGCAACGCCGCGUGCGGGAUGACGGCCUUCGGGUUGUAAACCGCUUUCGCCUGUGACGAAGCGUGAGUGACGGUAAUGGGUAAAGAAGCACCGGCUAACUACGUG
rnacentral:rRNA from 1 species